GGGACACGUGGUAUCCUGUCUGAAUAUGGGGGGACCAUCCUCCAAGGCUAAAUACUCCUGACUGACCGAUAGUGAACCAGUACCGUGAGGGAAAGGCGAAAAGAACCCCGGCGAGGGGAGUGAAAAAGAACCUGAAACCGUGUACGUACAAGCAGUGGGAGCACAGGUUUACCUGUGUGACUGCGUACCUUUUGUAUAAUGGGUCAGCGACUUAUAUUCUGUAGCAAGGUUAACCGUAUAGGGGAGCCGGAGGGAAACCGAGUCUUAAUUGGGCGUUAAGUUGCAGGGUAUAGACCCGAAACCCGGUGAUCUAGCCAUGGGCAGGUUGAAGGUUGGGUAACACUAACUGGAGGACCGAACCGACUAAUGUUGAAAAAUUAGCGGAUGACCUGUGGCUGGGGGUGAAAGGCCAAUCAAACCGGGAGAUAGCUGGUUCUCCCCGAAAGCUAUUUAGGUAGCGCCUCGUGAAUUCAUCUCCGGGGGUAGAGCACUGUUUCGGCUAGGGGGCCAUCCCGGCUUACCAACCCGAUGCAAACUGCGAAUACCGGAGAAUGUUAUCACGGGAGACACACGGCGGGUGCUAACGUCCGUCGUGAAGAGGGAAACAACCCAGACCGCCAGCUAAGGUCCCAAAGUCAUGGUUAAGUGGGAAACGAUGUGGGAAGGCCCAGACAGCCAGGAUGUUGGCUUAGAAGCAGCCAUCAUUUAAAGAAAGCGUAAUAGCUCACUGGUCGAGUCGGCCUGCGCGGAAGAUGUAACGGGGCUAAACCAUGCACCGAAGCUGCGGCAGCGACGCUUAUGCGUUGUUGGGUAGGGGAGCGUUCUGUAAGCCUGUGAAGGUGGCCUGUGAGGGUUGCUGGAGGUAUCAGAAGUGCGAAUGCUGACAUAAGUAACGAUAAAGCGGGUGAAAAGCCCGCUCGCCGGAAGACCAAGGGUUCCUGUCCAACGUUAAUCGGGGCAGGGUGAGUCGACCCCUAAGGCGAGGCCGAAAGGCGUAGUCGAUGGGAAACGGGUUAAUAUUCCCGUACUUGGUGUUACUGCGAAGGGGGGACGGAGAAGGCUAUGUUGGCCGGGCGACGGUUGUCCCGGUUUAAGCGUGUAGGUGUGUGUUCCAGGUAAAUCCGGUUCACUUUAACACUGAGGCGUGAUGACGAGGCACUACGGUGCUGAAGCAACAAAUGCCCUGCUUCCAGGAAAAGCCUCUAAGCAUCAGGUAACAUCAAAUCGUACCCCAAACCGACACAGGUGGUCAGGUAGAGAAUACCAAGGCGCUUGAGAGAACUCGGGUGAAGGAACUAGGCAAAAUGGUGCCGUAACUUCGGGAGAAGGCACGCUGACACGUAGGUGAAGUGAUUUACUCAUGGAGCUGAAGUCAGUCGAAGAUACCAGCUGGCUGCAACUGUUUAUUAAAAACACAGCACUGUGCAAACACGAAAGUGGACGUAUACGGUGUGACGCCUGCCCGGUGCCGGAAGGUUAAUUGAUGGGGUCAGCGCAAGCGAAGCUCCUGAUCGAAGCCCCGGUAAACGGCGGCCGUAACUAUAACGGUCCUAAGGUAGCGAAAUUCCUUGUCGGGUAAGUUCCGACCUGCACGAAUGGCGUAAUGAUGGCCAGGCUGUCUCCACCCGAGACUCAGUGAAAUUGAACUCGCUGUGAAGAUGCAGUGUACCCGCGGCAAGACGGAAAGACCCCGUGAACCUUUACUAUAGCUUGACACUGAACAUUGAGCCUUGAUGUGUAGGAUAGGUG
rnacentral:rRNA from 1 species